rnacentral:ncRNA from 1 species
GAGAGCGCAGUACAGCGGAGAGUUGUAUGCUGCGUUCGGAAGGAUGAAUCGCUCCCGAAAACGAAUCUACUGAUUCUCUCCAAAUUGGUUGGACUGUAGGUGCGACGAUUUACUUCAC